CAGCCGCGGUAAUUCCAGCUCCAAUAGCGUAUACUUAAGUUGUUGCAGUUAAAAAGCUCGUAGUUGAAAUUCGAGUCAGUUACUAGUUGGCUCUUCGUCAAUUAGUUAAUUGAUUCUCCGUCUAUAAUCCCUUUUGCGCUUUAGGGUUGCAGCUGGGUGAGUAGACAAUUUACCUUGAAAAAAUUAGAGUGUUCCAGGCAGGUCUUCGCCGGAAUACAUUAGCAUGGAAUAAUGGAAUAGGACUUGGGUCUUUUGUUGGUUUUAGGACUUAAGUAAUGAUUAAUAGGGACAGAUGGGGGCAUUAGUAUUUAAUUGUCAGAGGUGAAAUUCUUGGAUUUAUUAAAGACUAACUUAUGCGAAAGCAUUUGCCAAGGAUGUUUUCAUUAAUCAAGAACGAAAGUUAGGGGAUCAAAGACGAUCAGAUACCGUCGUAGUCUUAACUAUAAACUAUACCGACUCGAGAUCGGAAGGGUAAUAUAUUAGUCCCUUUCGGCAUCGUAAGAGAA
rnacentral:rRNA from 1 species